rnacentral:rRNA from 1 species
GACGAACGCUGGCGGCGUGCUUAACACAUGCAAGUCGAACGGAAAGGCCCUGCUUGCAGGGUACUCGAGUGGCGAACGGGUGAGUAACACGUGGGUGAUCUGCCCUGCACUUCGGGAUAAGCCUGGGAAACUGGGUCUAAUACCGGAUAGAAGCCAUUUUUAGUGUGAUGGUUGGAAAGUUUUUUCGGUGUAGGAUGAGCUCGCGGCCUAUCAGCUUGUUGGUGGGGUAAUGGCCUACCAAGGCGGCGACGGGUAGCCGGCCUGAGAGGGUGGACGGCCACAUUGGGACUGAGAGACGGCCCAGACUCCUACGGGAGGCAGCAGUGGGGAAGAUUGCACAAUGGGCGCAAGCCUGAUGCAGCGACGCCGCGUGGGGGAUGACGGCCUUCGGGUUGUAAACUCCUUUCGCUAGGGACGAAGCUUUUUGUGACGGUACCUAGAUAAGAAGCACCGGCUAACUACGUG